AUUAUUAAUUAUUGAGACCUGUUUAAUGUUGCUGUACAUAAUUGAGGUGCUGACCAAUAAUGGGGUUUUCUAUAUUUAGCAAUAGUAUUGCCAUGCCAUUGAUGUAUUGCUGAUUUGAUAGUUAUGUCAUCUAGCCAUUUUAAUUUAUUCAAUAAAUUAACAUACACUGUCAAUUUGUCAUCUACAUAAGCUAUGACAUAUUCUCAAUUUAUUGAUAUCAAAGAAUUUUAUAUAUGUCUAGUUGCCAUGUGGGUAUUUCAAUUUAUUUGAUUAGAGUACUCCUGAGUCCUGUGGUUUAAGCUUCAAUUCAUUGGAUUAAAUUACUACUAGUGUAUCAGAUGUAGACUUCUGCUUAUAUUGAACUUGAUUUAGU
rnacentral:misc_RNA from 1 species